rnacentral:rRNA from 1 species
UACAGAGGGUGCUAGCGUUGUUCGGAAUUAUUGGGCGUAAAGGGCGCGUAGGCGGCCCUGUGUGUCGGGUGUGAAAGCCCACCUCUUAAAGGUGGAAUUGCAUUCGAAACUACAGGGCUGGAGUGUCGGAGAGGAUGGCGGAAUUCCUGGUGUAGAGGUGAAAUUCGUAGAUAUCAGGAGGAACACCGGUGGCGAAGGCGGCCAUCUGGACGACAACUGACGCUGAGGCGCGAAAGCGUGGGAUCAACGG